rfam:Ictidomys tridecemlineatus contig089513, whole genome shotgun sequence.
GGGGUUGUGGCUCAGAGGUAGAGUACUCGCCUAGCAAGCGUGAGGCACUGGGUUCGAUCCUCAACACCA